GUGUAUGGCCAUGCUACCCUGAACGAGCCCGAUCUCGUCUGAUCUCGGAAGCUAAGCAGGGUCAGGCCUGUGUUAGUACUUGGAUGGGAGACCACCUAGGAAGACCAGGUGCUCUAGGCG
rnacentral:rRNA from 1 species